rnacentral:rRNA from 1 species
AUUUGGUCGUAGACCCGAAACCAGGUGAUCUACCCUUGGUCAGGUUGAAGUUCAGGUAACACUGAAUGGAGGACCGAACCGACUUACGUUGAAAAGUGAGCGGAUGAACUGAGGGUAGCGGAGAAAUUCCAAUCGAACCUGGAGAUAGCUGGUUCUCUCCGAAAUAGCUUUAGGGCUAGCCUCAAGUGAUGAUUAUUGGAGGUAGAGCACUGUUUGGACGAGGGGCCCCUCUCGGGUUACCGAAUUCAGACAAACUCCGAAUGCCAAUUAAUUUAACUUGGGAGUCAGAACAUGGGUGAUAAGGUCCGUGUUCGAAAGGGAAACAGCCCAGACCACCAGCUAAGGUCCCAAAAUAUAUGUUAAGUGGAAAAGGAUGUGGCGUUGCCCAGACAACUAGGAUGUUGGCUUAGAAGCAGCCAUCAUUUAAAGAGUGCGUAAUAGCUCACUAGUCGAGUGACACUGCGCCGAAAAUGUACCGGGGCUAAACAUAUUACCGAAGCUGUGGAUUGUCCUUUGGACAAUGGUAGGAGAGCGUUCUAAGGGCGUUGAAGCAUGAUCGUAAGGACAUGUGGAGCGCUUAGAAGUGAGAAUGCCGGUGUGAGUAGCGAAAGACGGGUGAGAAUCCCGUCCACCGAUUGACUAAGGUUUCCAGAGGAAGGCUCGUCCGCUCUGGGUUAGUCGGGUCCUAAGCUGAGGCCGACAGGCGUAGGCGAUGGAUAACAGGUUGAUAUUCCUGUACCACCUAUAAUCGUUUUAAUCGAUGGGGGGACGCAGUAGGAUAGGCGAAGCGUGCGAUUGGAUUGCACGUCUAAGCAGUAAGGCUGAGUAUUAGGCAAAUCCGGUACUCGUUAAGGCUGAGCUGUGAUGGGGAGAAGACAUUGUGUCUUCGAGUCGUUGAUUUCACACUGCCGAGAAAAGCCUCUAGAUAGAAAAUAGGUGCCCGUACCGCAAACCGACACAGGUAGUCAAGAUGAGAAUUCUAAGGUGAGCGAGCGAACUCUCGUUAAGGAACUCGGCAAAAUGACCCCGUAACUUCGGGAGAAGGGGUGCUCUUUAGGGUUAACGCCCAGAAGAGCCGCAGUGAAUAGGCCCAAGCGACUGUUUAUCAAAAACACAGGUCUCUGCUAAACCGUAAGGUGAUGUAUAGGGGCUGACGCCUGCCCGGUGCUGGAAGGUUAAGAGGAGUGGUUAGCUUCUGCGAAGCUACGAAUCGAAGCCCCAGUAAACGGCGGCCGUAACUAUAACGGUCCUAAGGUAGCGAAAUUCCUUGUCGGGUAAGUUCCGACCCGCACGAAAGGCGUAACGAUUUGGGCACUGUCUCAACGAGAGACUCGGUGAAAUCAUAGUACCUGUGAAGAUGCAGGUUACCCGCGACAGGACGGAAAGACCCCGUGGAGCUUUACUGUAGCCUGAUAUUGAAAUUCGGCACAGCUUGUACAGGAUAGGUAGGAGCCUUUGAAACGUGAGCGCUAGCUUACGUGGAGGCGCUGGUGGGAUACUACCCUAGCUGUGUUGGUUUUCUAACCCGCACCACUUAUCGUGGUGGGAGACAGUGUCAGGCGGGCAGUUUGACUGGGGCGGUCGCCUCCUAAAAGGUAACGGAGGCGCUCAAAGGUUCCCUCAGAAUGGUUGGAAAUCAUUCAUAGAGUGUAAAGGCAUAAGGGAGCUUGACUGCGAGACCUACAAGUCGAGCAGGGUCGAAAGACGGACUUAGUGAUCCGGUGGUUCCGCAUGGAAGGGCCAUCGCUCAACGGAUAAAAGCUACCCCGGGGAUAACAGGCUUAUCUCCCCCAAGAGUUCACAUCGACGGGGAGGUUUGGCACCUCGAUGUCGGCUCAUCGCAUCCUGGGGCUGUAGUCGGUCCCAAGGGUUGGGCUGUUCGCCCAUUAAAGCGGUACGCGAGCUGGGUUCAGAACGUCGUGAGACAGUUCGGUCCCUAUCCGUCGUGGGCGUAGGAAAUUUGAGAGGAGCUGUCCUUAGUACGAGAGGACCGGGAUGGACAUACCUCUGGUGUACCAGUUGUCGUGCCAACGGCAUAGCUGGGUAGCUAUGUGUGGACGGGAUAAGUGCUGAAAGCAUCUAAGCAUGAAGCCCCCCUCAAGAUGAGAUUUCCCAACUUCGGUUAUAAGAUCCCUCAAAGAUGAUGAGGUUAAUAGGUUCGAGGUGGAAGCAUGGUGACAUGUGGAGCUGACGAAUACUAA